UCAGGCCUAACACAUGCAAGUCGAGCGCACCUUCGGGUGAGCGGCGGACGGGUUAGUAACGCGUGGGAACGUGCCCUUCUCUACGGAAUAGCCAUUGGAAACGAUGAGUAAUACCGUAUACGCCCUUCGGGGAAAGAUUUAUCGGAGAAGGAUCGGCCCGCGUUAGAUUAGAUAGUUGGUGGGGUAACGGCCUACCAAGUCUACGAUCUAUAGCUGGUUUUAGAGGAUGAUCAGCAACACUGGGACUGAGACACGGCCCAGACUCCUACGGGAGGCAGCAGUGGGGAAUCUUAGACAAUGGGCGCAAGCCUGAUCUAGCCAUGCCGCGUGAGUGAUGAAGGCCUUAGGGUCGUAAAGCUCUUUCGCCAGGGAUGAUAAUGACAGUACCUGGUAAAGAAACCCCGGCUAACUCCGUGCCAGCAGCCGCGGUAAUACGGAGGGGGUUAGCGUUGUUCGGAAUUACUGGGCGUAAAGCGCGCGUAGGCGGACUAUUAAGUCAGGGGUGAAAUCCCGGGGCUCAACCCCGGAACUGCCUUUGAUACUGGUAGUCUAGAGUUCGAGAGAGGUGAGUGGAACUCCGAGUGUAGAGGUGAAAUUCGUAGAUAUUCGGAAGAACACCAGUGGCGAAGGCGGCUCACUGGCUCGAUACUGACGCUGAGGUGCGAAAGUGUGGGGAGCAAACAGGAUUAGAUACCCUGGG
rnacentral:rRNA from 1 species